rnacentral:snRNA from 1 species
GAGUAUUGUUCCGGUUAUCCGUG